rnacentral:rRNA from 1 species
UGAGCAAUCUGCCCUUCUCUUUGGAAUAAGCGUUGGAAACGACGUCUAAUGCCGAAUACGACCUCCUUUCGCAUGAUCGGAGGUGGAAAGCUCCGGCGGAGAAGGAUGAGCUCGCGGCCUAUCAGCUAGUUGGUGUGGGUAAUGGCCCACCAAGGCGACGACGGGUAGCCGGCUGAGAGGGCGAUCGGCCACACUGGGACUGAGACACGGCCAGACUCCUACGGG